AUACUGUAAUCCUGCAUGGGAUAUCAGUUAAAGCUUAGGUGGUAAAGGAUGGGCAUGCGUGACAUUAGCUGGUUGGUAGGGUAACGGCCUACCAAGGCUACGAUGUCUAGGGGUUCUGAGAGGAAGGUCCCCCACACUGGUACUGAGACACGGACCAGACUCCUACGGGAGGCAGCAGUGAGGAAUAUUGGUCAAUGGGCGAGAGCCUGAACCAGCCAUCCCGCGUGCAGGAAGAAGGCCCUAUGGGUUGUAAACUGCUUUUGUGCAUGAAGAACACCCCCGACGUGCUCGGGGGCUGACGGUAAUGCGUGAAUAAGCACCGGCUAACUCCGUGCCAGCAGCCCGCGGUAAUACGGAGGGUGCAAGCGUUAUCCGGAUUUAUUGGGUUUAAAGGGUGCGUAGGCGGCCCGUUAAGUCAGUGGUGAAAACCUGCGGCUCAACCCGUAGGCGUGCCAUUGAAACUGACAGGCUUGAGUAACCAUGAAGCA
rnacentral:rRNA from 1 species